CAGGAACCUGAAUAAUACAUAUGAGCCGCCCGACCCGACCACCAUUAUUAGAACCAGGACCCAUCAAACCACCCUGUACUCACCCAGCAGAGCGAGAAUUUAUAUGAGAGCAUUAAACCGAGGACAACACAGACUAACAGUGUUUUAGUGAGACUCCAUUGCCCGAAAGUGCCGAAGUUUCACCCACUGAUGCGACAGAUAAUGAAGAGACCAUAACCCUGUUAAAGAAACGGAAGUCCUAAAUCUGCACAGUCAUGUGCCUUGAUACAAGUUAAUGUGGUUGGUUAAUUGAAAGCAUUCAUAGGAAUGACUCUAUUGAGUGUAUUUCUAUGGGUCAAAUCUGCUCUUUGCACAUUGGUAUUAAAAAUUCUAAUGCACAUGUAAGUGUUACUGUAUAACAUUGUCUGUCUCAUCUCCUGCACGUACAAGUGUUGCCUUGUCAUUGCAUUUGUCUUCCAAACACUCCCUGUGUGUAUGCUGGUCAUUGUCCCCCACACUGAAAUUGGGGAACGGACUGUGGCUCUGUUUCCAUCCGUUAGUACGUUCAUAUGUUAGUCACAAGCGAUAUAUCAGAUAGCAUUGGCCCGGUUUUGACUAAACUUUGGUGAAUGGUGCAUCUUGCCAUAGCUUUACAGCAUUUAGAAAAUUACACUGAUUGGCCAGAUGGUGGCCCUGUAACGAGAUUGAAAAUGCAAACUUUGAAAGGUCAUGCCCCUCACCCCAUUAUACCUUAAAUCAUGAAAUUUAGUAGAUCGGUUCCUGUCUUCACAAGGAACAAAUUUGCCUCUGGACCCAUAAGUUCCGCCAUGAUGGAUCUUCCACCAUUUUGAAUUGUGUGAAAAACACUUAACCCUACUCUUCUGAUACCGAAUGACCAAUCUGCACGAAACUUGAUAUGUGGCAUUUAUGGAAAACGAUCUCUCAACGCAAUAUUUUCCAGACUGGUAGCCAAAUCAACAUGGCCGCUAUUGACCAAUAAACAUUCACCUGGGUGUGGUCUGGCACAUAACUGCAUAUAAAUCAGUCAAAGACAUUCGUAUUGUAACAGAAUUUGAUAAACCCUGUCAAGACUCAACAUAUGCAAGAACAUUCAUAUCGACCUUGCUGUGGCGCUAUAACGGGCAUAUAUCUGUUGAUCUGUUUGACUUAGUGAUGAAAUUUGGCACGCAUGUUUAGGGAUAUGAGCUAACCCACACGAUAUCUCAGACACCACUGGCCCAAUUUUGACAACAUUUGGGUGAAUGAUUAGUCAUGCUAUAGAGAUCUGAAAAUGACAAAAUUAUACCUUUUGGGCCGGGGGGGCUAUAGUAAUCAACUGUACAUGCGCUAGUCAUUUGUGGGGGGAUGACAUGUUUACUGUUGCCUUAUUUCAAGGUGUCUUGGUAGUCAAUAUUCUAAGAUUGUCAUAAUGUGUAUCAUUUCUUCAAUCAUGCUAACUUAAAUCUCUGCUCUUCACUUGAAUCAUGGUUGUACAAUUUGAAAUAAAUGUCAUCUGUUUUUGAACUAUUUAACUCUGAUCCUUUGUAAAUUUAUAGUCAACACAACGCUUAACAAAGCCAUCACCGUUGAUCAUUGCUACAAGAAAACACAAAAAAAGAACAAGCACUCAAUCUGUUUUCAAUUGGUUUUCCUAAAGGUCACACUAUGAGAAAAUAGGCCUAACCUGUAAUUAAAUAUCCACAAGGGUCAUUCUUUUUCAAUUUCAGUCAGGGAGAGGGUUUAGUCUUUUAUUCAUUUUUAUAUAUUUUUUAUUUAGUCCAGGGGAGGGUCAUGUAAUUUGUAAUCAAUUUAAAUGCCAUUGCUCAGUGUUUGAGAAUUAGCAUCUCAUGUGUGCCUGAUGCUGCCCCUAAUCCCUGACUCUCUGCUGGGUGUGCAAUAUCAAGUGUGCCUAGUGUGGUCUCAAUAAAAUUAUCCAUAGCCUAUUCUAUAGGCCAGGGUGGGCAAACUUUUUGGCUCGAGGGCCACAUCGGGAUUUUGAAAUUCAACUGAGGGUUGCAUUUUUUGGGGGACCAAUUGUUUGUUAAAAUCAAUUUGCAGGUGUCACUACAGACCAGGGUUCGAUCCCAGGCUGUGUCACAGCUGGUCGUGACUGGGAGACUCAUGAGGCAGCGCACAAUUGGCCCAGCAUC